rnacentral:rRNA from 1 species
UACGGGGGGGGCAAGCGUUGUUCGGAAUUACUGGGCGUAAAGGGCGCGUAGGCGGCCUGUUAAGUCGAACGUGAAAUCCCCGGGCUCAACCCGGGAACUGCGUCCGAUACUGGCAGGCUUGAAUUCGGGAGAGGGAUGUGGAAUUCCAGGUGUAGCGGUGAAAUGCGUAGAUAUCUGGAGGAACACCGGUGGCGAAGGCGGCAUCCUGGACCGGCAUUGACGCUAAAGCGCGAAAGCCAGGGGAGCAAACGGGG